AGUUCCACCGUAGAAGGUAAUAGUCCUGUAAGUGAAACGAGAAGACCACGAGUUAUGAUCCAGAGUACCACGAGACACGUGAAACCUUGUGGGAAGCAGGGAGGACCACCUCCCAAGGCUAAAUACUACCUGAUGACCGAUAGUGAAGCAGUACCGUGAGGGAAAGGUGAAAAGAACCCCGGGAGGGGAGUGAAAUAGAACCUGAAACCGUGUGCCUACAACCGCUCAGAGCCCCUUAUGAGGGUGAUGAGGUGCUUUUUGUAGAACGAGCCAACGAGUUACGGUAUGUAGCAAGGUUAAGUACUUAAGGUACGGAGCCGAAGGGAAACCGAGUCUGAAUAGGGCGACUAGUUGCAUGCCGUAGACCCGAAACCGGGUGACCUAUCCAUGGCCAGGUUGAAGCGAGGGUAAAACCUCGUGGAGGACCGAACCACGUUGCUGUUGAAAAAGCAUGGGAUGAGCUGUGGAUAGCGGAGAAAUUCCAAUCGAACCCGGAGAUAGCUGGUUCUCUCCGAAAUAGCUUUAGGGCUAGCGUCGAGUAUGAGUAGUGGAGGUAGAGCACUGAAUGGGCUAGGGGGCAUAGCGCUUACCGAACCUUAUCAAACUCCGAAUGCCACAUACUUUGAGCUCGGCAGUCAGACUACGAAUGAUAAGAUCCGUGGUCAAAAGGGAAACAGCCCAGAUCGUCAGCUAAGGUCCCAAAGUGUAAGUUAAGUGGGAAAGGAUGUGAGAUUUCUAAGACAACUAGGAUGUUGGCUUAGAAGCAGCCAUUCAUUAAAAGAGUGCGUAAUAGCUCACUAGUCGAGAGAUCUUGCGCCGAAAAUGUAACGGGGCUAAACUUACCACCGAAGCUACGGGCUUGAACUUAGUUCAAGCGGUAGGAGAGCGUCGUAACCGGGCUGAAGUCGUACCGUAAGGAGCGGUGGACUGGUUACGAGUGAGAAUGUUGGCAUCAGUAGCGAGAUGUGGGUGAGAAUCCCACAGGCCGAAAACCUAAGGUUUCCUCAGGAAGGUUCGUCCGCUGAGGGUUAGUCGGGACCUAAGCCGAGGCCGAAAGGCGUAGGUGAUGGACAACUGGUUGAUAUUCCAGUACCACUACCAUCGUUAUUAUCGAUGGCGUGACGCAGGAGGAUAGUGUGUGCUAGCUAUUGGAUGCUAGUCUAAGCGUUUAGGCAGUGAGAGUAGGCAAAUCCGCUCUCAUAAUGCUGAGGCGUGAUGGGGAAGGUUCCACGGAACCGAAGUACAUGAUUCCACGCUGCCAAGAAAAGCGUCUAGAGAGAGAAGUAGUGCCCGUACCGCAAACCGACACAGGUAGGUGAGGAGAGAAUCCUAAGGCCGGCGGAAGAAUUACAGUUAAGGAACUCGGCAAAUUGACCCCGUAAGUUCGCGAGAAGGGGUGCCUACGAGAGUAGGCCGCAGAGAAUAGGCCCAAGCAACUGUUUAGCAAAAACACAGGUCUCUGCUAAAGCGUAAGCUGAUGUAUAGGGGCUGACGCCUGCCCGGUGCUGGAAGGUUAAGGGGAACACUUAGCGCAAGCGAAGGUGUGAACUUAAGCCCCAGUAAACGGCGGCCGUAACUAUAACGGUCCUAAGGUAGCGAAAUUCCUUGUCAGGUAAGUUCUGACCCGCACGAAUGGCGUAAUGACUUGGGCACUGUCUCAACUGUAAAUCCGGCGAAGUUGUAGUGCGAGUGAAGAUGCUCGCUACCCGCGAUUGGACGGAAAGACCCCGUAGAGCUUUACUGUAGCUUAGCAUUGAGUUUUGGUAUUGUCUGUACAGGAUAGGUGGGAGACUAGGAAACCAGGGCGUCAGCCUUGGUGGAGUCAACCUUGGGAUACCACCCUGACAGUACUGAAAUUCUAACUGGCGGCCAUGAAUCUGGUCACAGGACAUUGUUAGGUGGGCAGUUUGACUGGGGCGGUCGCCUCCUAAAAAGUAACGGAGGCGCCCAAAGGUUCCCUCAGAACGGUCGGAAAUCGUUCGAAGAGUGCAAAGGCAGAAGGGAGCCUGACUGCGACACCCACAAGUGGAGCAGGGACGAAAGUCGGGCUUAGUGAUCCGGUGGUACCUCGUGGGAGGGCCAUCGCUCAACGGAUAAAAGCUACCUCGGGGAUAACAGGCUGAUCUCCCCCAAGAGUCCACAUCGACGGGGAGGUUUGGCACCUCGAUGUCGGCUCGUCGCAUCCUGGGGCUGAAGUAGGUCCCAAGGGUUGGGCUGUUCGCCCAUUAAAGCGGCACGCGAGCUGGGUUCAGAACGUCGUGAGACAGUUCGGUCCCUAUCCGUCGCGGGCGUAGGAAAUUUGAGAGGAGCUGUCCUUAGUACGAGAGGACCGGGAUGGACUGACCUCUGGUGUACCAGUUGUUCCGCCAGGAGCACAGCUGGGUAGCUAAGUCGGGAAUGGAUAAACGCUGAAAGCAUCUAAGCGUGAAGCCAACCUCAAGAUGAGAUUUCCCAUAGCGUAAGCUAGUAAGAUCCCUUGA
rnacentral:rRNA from 1 species